GGUGGAUUGUUUUCACCGACAAUGUUUUCUGGAAGUAUUCCUGAGCCCAUGUUGUGAUUUCCAUUACAGUAGUAUUCCUGUAUGUGAUGCAGUGCCGUCUAAGGGCCCGAAGAUCACGGGCAUCCAGUAUGGUUUUCCGGCCUUGACCCUUACGCACAGAGAUUGUUCCAGAUUCUCUGAAUCUUUGGAUGAUAUUAUGCACUGUAGAUGAUGAUAACUUCAAACUCUUUGCAAUUUUUCUCUGAGAAACUUCUUUCUGAUAUUGCUCCACUAUUUUUCGCCGCAGCAUUGGGGGAAUUGGUGAUCCUCUGCCCAUCUUGAUUUCUGAGAGACACUGCCACUCUGAGAGGCUCUUUUUAUACCCAAUCAUGUUGCCAAUUGACCUAAUAAGUUGCAAAUUGGUCCUCCAGCUGUUCCUUAUAUGUACAUUUAACUUUUCUGGCCUCUUAUUGCUACCUGUCCCAACUUUUUUGGAAUGUGUAGCUCUCAUGAAAUCCAAAAUGAGCCAAUAUUUGGCAUGACAUUUCAAAAUGUCUCACUUUCAACAUUUGAUAUGUUAUCUAUAUUCUAUUGUGAAUAAAAUAUAAGUUUAUGAGAUUUGUAAAUUAUUCCAUUCCUUUUUUACUCACAAUUUGUACAGUGUCCCAACAUUUUUGGAAUCGGGUUUGUACAAUAUGAUGAUAUUAGUUUGUAACACAGUACAGUGAAUAUUUGUAUGGCAUAACAAGAGGGCUAGGUUUCACUUUCAUUUCCACUUACAUGAUGUCACAGCUUUCAGACAGCCUUUCAGCUUCAAGACCAAGGAAUCAGUGAGGUAUGAGGAAAGUACAGUAUAGUAAAAUGUACUGUUCCUAAAAUAUUUGUAUGGCACACCCAAGGGCUAGGCUUGCCUUCAGUUUUCUCUUAAAUGCUGUCAUAGCCUUAACGCCUUAAACAGCCAGUUGGUAAGCUGCCAACCCAAUGGCUGGAAUGUUUAUUCAUUAUCUUCCAGUAAUAAACCUGCUUUUCCUGCAAGCUCGUUAUUUACUCAUAUAUAUUUUGUGUGACAGGGAAGCUUUUUAUUUGUGUCAGUCAAGGAUGGAGUUUAAGCACACGAAAAAGACAAGCUUUUCGGUAAGGAGGAAAACAAAAAAUGGGAAAGAAAAGAAACUUUCAAUGAAAAAAAUAGAGCAGACAGAUGUGAACCUUCCACCAGAGGAACAGGCAUCUGGAGUUCCUGAUCUCAUUGCUCUAGAUGCUGAAGCACUUAACAAGAGAGUGCUUCAUGCUCUCAAAACAAUUUUGAGUGAUGAAUCAACCUCUGAGGACUUUGAUGCUGCAGUUGAGGUGCUGAAAACAUUGAGCAAACUGAAUAACAACUAUUCUCAAGACGGGCUUUUUGAGUACCUUCAAGAAAUAAAUCAGUUUGUGGAGAACCACUUUCCCACGCUGCCAGCAGAGGGACCACGGGGAUCUCAGUUGGAGCCGAUACAGGACUUUCAGAGAACACAGAGCAUGAUAAAUGAUAAGGUGCUUCGAUUAACACCUGCACUGAAAGAUGCUGGGCUGCUAGAUCAUCUGAUGGACAGUUACAGCCGUCACCUCUUUACCAACCUGGACCUGCUGCUAAACAGAGAUCUGUCUGUGAAAGAGAUCUUCUGCCUUCUGCUGUGGGGAAAAGAUGUUUUCUUCAGUUCAGACUCACAGCAUUUCUUCAGAGUGCACGACCCUCUGCUGUUGACAAAUUGGUUUGAGAGAGCAACGGAGAAACUGCUGCCAAAACUAAAGAAUGACAUCUCCACGACUCUACAGAACAUCCUGGACUAUGAUGCGCAAAAUAGACCAAAUGGAGACUCAAUGGAUGAAGAAACGUUCAUCAGAGUUCACUUAGAUGUCACUAAAUGUCUGAAUGCUGUUAUACAGAGUUCUAAGGAAUUUAGUCACACGCUGAUGUGUGCGGCACAAACACUCUGUCUUAAAGAGCUUCAUCAUUUUGUUCAGGAGUAUGUGCAUGCAGAGAAAAAACGCCUGGAAAAACAACAACCCCUGAAGAAAAAUCCUGUGCAUCUGUUUCGGCUCAUCAGCACCUGUAGACAACUCAGAUUUUUUGCUCCUCAACUCAACAAUCCAGAUAUAAACAACAGUGACGACCUCUCAAAAAUUAUCUGCAUGUUAGAGGAGAUGGAGGAUCACGCUCUGUCUAUUGUACAGAAGAUGAUGAAAGACGUUGCACAGGCCUUAUUAAGACAUUAUUUUAAAAAAGGAGGUGAACAAAUUCAAGGGCUGACAGAGGCAAUCCAAAAGCAAUGUGCAUCUCUUCCUCAGACUGAUGUAGGAAAAGAGAUUCAGGAGAUCUUUGUGGAUGUAUCCUAUGACUGCGUUUCACGCGUGUAUCUGGAUUGCCUGAUGAAGAGCAAGUUCAGAAGGCUAGAGAGGAGAUGGGGAAAUGUUGGAGAAAGGAUAAACGCGGACAUUCUCAGUUUACACAACACUUUCACUGUACUGAAUGGCAGUGAUGCCCAGAGGAACCAUUUCCUUCAGAGACUCAGUGAAGUUUUGCUUCACAGUGAUGUAGAAGCACUGAAGAUUACCUGUUUUGUUUUGUUCAGAGAUUUCCCUCAGGAGAGUAAGCAGUAUGUACCUGGUCUGCUGCGCUGGAAGGGGGUUUUAUCAGAGCGACAGGUGAGGGAAGUGCUGGAUGUGACCCAGGACCUCGAUCCGAAGCCUAGACGCGUCACCUGUCAGCCUCUGAAGGGACUUUUUUGUUGUCUUUGA
ensembl:lncRNA